rnacentral:tRNA from 1 species
GUAGCUCAGUUGGUUAGAGCGCUACCUUGACAUGGUAGAGGUCGGUGGUUCGAAUCCACUC